UUUAGAGAUAGAGGAGUGCUCGAAAGAGAGCCGUACACAGGUGCUGCAUGGCUGUGUCAGCUCGUGUCGUGAGAUGUUGGGUUAAGUCCCGCAACGAGCGCAACCCUUGUCAUUAGUUGCUACAUUCAGUUGGGCACUCUAAUGAGACUGCCGGUGACAAACCGGAGGAAGGUGGGGAUGACGUCAAGUCCUCAUGGCCCUUAUAGGUGGGGCUACACACGUCAUACAAUGGAUGGUACAAAGGGUCGCCAACCCGCGAGGGGGAGCCAAUCCCAUAAAGCCAUUCGUAGUCCGGAUCGCAGUCUGCAACUCGACUGCGUGAAGUCGGAAUCGCUAGUAAUCGUGGAUCAGAAUGUCACGGUGAAUACGUUCCCGGGUCUU
rnacentral:rRNA from 1 species